UGCAUCGGUCGGGAAUCGAACCCGGGCCGCCCGCGUGGUAGGCGAGCAUUCUACCACAGAACCACCAAUGG